rnacentral:rRNA from 1 species
GUGCCAGCCGCCGCGGUAAUACGAAGGGGGCUAGCGUUGCUCGGAAUUACUGGGCGUAAAGGGCGCGUAGGCGGCGCAUUCAGUCAGGCGUGAAAUUCCUGGGCUUAACCUGGGGGCUGCGCUUGAUACGUUUGUGCUAGAGGUCAGAAGAGGGUCGUGGAAUUCCCAGUGUAGAGGUGAAAUUCGUAGAUAUUGGGAAGAACACCGGUGGCGAAGGCGGCGACCUGGUCUGAUACUGACGCUGAGGCGCGACAGCGUGGGGAGCAAACAGGAUUAGAAACCCCAGUAGUCC